rnacentral:rRNA from 1 species
AUGGAUGUUGCAGGUUCAUUGAUGACAGCCAAGGGUUCAUGCUCGGAAACGACUAAAUCUUGCUCCAUGUUGUCGGCUCAGCUAGAGUCCUUAAUCAUGAGGAGAUGGGACACGUCGAUUGUUAGAAUACACUUGACAGGUGCAUUUUGUGAAAUUCUCGCCAGAAGAUUUAUAGCAUGCUUGCCUGCUUGUUCUUUUCAGUUCAAAUAA